UACAGAGGUCCCGAGCGUUGUUCGGAUUCAUUGGGCGUAAAGGGUGCGUAGGCGGCGGGGUAAGUCUGAUGUGAAAUACCGGGGCUCAACCCCGGAACUGCAUUGGAUACUGCCUUGCUAGAGAACUGGAGAGGAGACUGGAAUUUACGGUGUAGCAGUGAAAUGCGUAGAGAUCGUAAGGAAGACCAGUGGCGAAGGCGAGUCUCUGGACAGUAUCUGACGCUGAGGCACGAAGGCCAGGGGAGCAAACGGG
rnacentral:rRNA from 1 species